rnacentral:rRNA from 1 species
UACAGAGGGUGCGAGCGUUAAUCGGAAUUACUGGGCGUAAAGCGUGCGCAGACGGUCACGUAAGUCGGGUGUGAAAGCCCCGGGCUCAACCUGGGAAUUGCAUUCGAGACUGCUCUGCUAGGGUGCGGAAGAGGGAAGCGGAAUUUCCGGUGUAGCGGUGAAAUGCGUAGAUAUCGGAAGGAACACCAGUGGCGAAAGCGGCUUCCUGGUCCAGCACCGACGUUCAGGCACGAAAGCGUGGGGAGCAAACAGG